rnacentral:misc_RNA from 1 species
GAUGAAGAACGUAGCGAAAUGCGAUAAGUAAUGUGAAUUGCAGAAUUCAGUGAAUCAUCGAAUCUUUGAACGCACAUUGCGCCCGCCAGUAUUCUGGCGGGCAUGCCUGUUCGAGCGUCAUUAUAACCCCUCAAGCUCAGCUUGGUGUUGGGGCCUGCUGCACUGGCAGCCCUUAAAAUCAGUGGCGGCGCCAUCUGGCUCUAAGCGUAGUAAUUCUUCUCGCUAUGGAGUCCUGGUGGAUGCUUGCCAUCAACCCCCAAUUUUUCUAUGGUUGACCUCGGAUCAGGUAGGGAUACCCGCUGAACUUAAGCAUAUCAAUAAGCGGAGGA